rnacentral:lncRNA from 1 species
GCAGCUUCUGCCCGGGGAGCAUUGCCCCUCUUCAUAUAUUGUUUGAUUUGCCCAUUUCUAAUCAGAAUUUCAAUGGCAUCUUUUAAUUGGAUGCAGUCGUCAGUCAGAUGGCCGUAACCUUUGUGGUACUUGCAGUACCUGCUCUUGUCUUGGCCAGGCUUUGUGGGUUGUUGUCUUGGAAAUUUAAUUCCUGCUUUAGUGAACUCAGCUGAGUUGCACUCUUUCCAAAUUUCUUCCUGGGAUUUGCUAAGGGGAGUAUAAUUGCUGAACGUGCUAGGAGGUCCACGGGAUUCUCUAGGCCUUUCGCCUCUUCGUCUUCCUCCUCCUCGGCUGAACUGUUCAGCAUUUGAACGAGGAUGAGGUUGACUGUUUCC